AUCUUCGAGAAAUCGCUGUCUAACGAAGAAAGCGUGGUAAAUUAAACUAAGAUAUCGUACUUGACGAUGCGUUCAAUAUUAUUCGAAAAAAAUCCGAUUUUUAAGUAUGUAUAAUCUCGAUGAAUAAAUUGAGACUAGACGAUUCGAUAUGGAGAAUAGUUAAAAGACUGACUAACGGUCCAGUCUAGUCGUCUAUAUUGCGACAAGAAAAUAUUGUUAAUUAAUUCAUGCCAUGUCUCGCGGCGAAAUCGAUAUGAAUAAGAUUAGCGUUAAGUUCUAUCAUACCGAGAGAAAAGAUAGCGAAGGCUUUAAAUUUACGAGUGUCAGGUGUACGAUUAUAACGUUCACUUAUCUGUUCUUCGAGAAGCACCUAUUUGUCGAUUUCGAAUAUUCCAUUCGAUUGACCUAAACGAAUAAAGUAGGUAUCGAGAAAAUAAAAAAAGAAAAACAAAAAACAAAAAAAGAACAAUAGAGAGAGAGAGAGAGAGAGAGAGGGAGAAAGCAAAAUUAGUAAAAUCGUCAGUCACCGAGAGAAGGGUCAGAGAAACGUUUCUCAAUUUUAUUCUCGGCGUAUAUUAGCAUCUUAAGAGCAGAUUUCUCCUCGUCGCUAAGCAUCAUAACUACGCUUGAUUUUAUUCAUAGAGAAUUAUCUUAAAGCGUAGAGACCUAGUGGCAGUUUAUCGACCACCGCGAGGCGAACCAACGCUAUGCUCGCUCGUAUUCACGAAGAUAACCGUAAACAGGAACCGGUUGUUGUUUACCAGAAUGCGCUAUUCUUCGCAGCUCGCUCUCGCGCCAUUGGGAUUCGCGUUCGUUCACUAGCCUCGUCUAGAAGAUUCCAAGAUAUUUUCAGAUCUACGAGAAGAUCGAGGUCUCGAGAUCUACUCGUUCGAAACGUCGAUCGUCGCGAAAUCCUCCGUAAGAUAUAACAUGUUGGUGAGCGCGAACGAAAGGAAAGGCAUAGUGAAAGGUUCCUGAUAAAAUCCUGUUUAAAAAAAUGAAAUCGACAUAUACGUUUCAGAAGCGAUUUUCUAUUCUGUGAUUCCAACACGGUUUCCAAAUCGUUCCUAUGUCAUUCGGCCGCAAAUCGACGAGUUUAUUUCGUAAGCCAACCGGUAUUGGCAAUCAGAAGACAUAAGCUAAUUGCAAGGUGCCACCGAGCUUUGCAUAUUUUCUUUUUUUUAAUUAUGAUCUGAUAAUUAUCCGUAUCGCCGAACAAACCUAAACACGCAUGAGAAAUAAACGGUUCAAUGAUUAUCAAAAAGAAUUUAAUAAUAACUGAAAAAGAUGAAGGUAACAGGUAUGUAGAUAUUAAAAGAAGAGAAUUAAAAGAGAAAAAACAUUGGACACUGAAUUAACAUUACAAGCUCGACCAAGAAAGAUCAUUGAUAUUAUCGCAUGGUUAUCGGCUUAUUCGUUUUAUUUCGAGAUUUUGACGCGAACACGGUAAAAUCUUACGAACGGCUUUAGACAUCGGUUCCCGUUGACGUAACAUGCAACGUGAGAUAUCGAGCGACGAGGGUCAAUGAAUCAAUGGACUCGACCGACACGCAUUAAUCAAAGUUGAUUUUAAAUACGAAAUAAAUACGAUCUGAUAUACGAUAAAGUUUUAUACAAACAGUUCAAAUCUAACGUCUAACUUUCAAAACCACCAAGAUUUUUUCAUAUUUCUACUUCAUCGGAUCUGAAAGGACUCGUCAUCAGGAUUAUUUCUUCGAUUUUGCAAGACGAUGAUGUUCAUCGAAAAAUAAAAAAAUAAAAAAAUGAAACGAAAGAUAAAAAAAAGAAACAAAGACGAUGAAAGAGUGUAAUACGAUGAGAAGUUUCUAACGAUACUUUUCGAAGAAAUUUUACGUAGGAAGGAAGAUCGUUCAUGGGGAGUAAUCGCGAAGGCUCCAGGGCAAGAUCUCUUGGAGGAAUAGGCCGAGGACGAGGACGAGGACGAGGACGGCCAGGACGACGAUAUCUUGGUAAACGUAAAUUCGAGCAAAGCGCCGUUGGUGACUUCCUAACGCGUUUUGCAUUUCAUGGGACACGGACUCGUCGACUACGAGGAGGAUAGUAGGUACCGACCGUUCAAUUUGCGAAGCAAGAAGGUGGAAAACCUGCUUCGAUGCAUGAGGG